rnacentral:rRNA from 1 species
CUACGGGCGGCACCAGUGGGGAAUAUUGCACAAUGGGGGAAACCCUGAUGCAGCAACGCCGCGUGAGUGAAGAAGGCUUUCGAGUCGUAAAGCUCUGUCCUAUGGGAAGAAUAGAUGACGGUACCAUAGGAGGAAGCCCCGGCUAACUACGUGCCAGCAGCCGCGGUAAUACGUAGGGGGCAAGCGUUAUCCGGAAUCAUUGGGCGUAAAGGGUGCGUAGGCGGCCAGACAAGUCAGAGGGGAAAGGCUACGGCUUAACCGUAGUAAGCCUUUGAAACUGUUUGGCUUGAGUGCAGGAGAGGAAAGUGGAAUUCCUAGUGUAGCGGUGAAAUGCGUAGAUAUUAGGAGGAACACCAGUGGCGAAGGCGACUUUCUGGACUGUAACUGACGCUGAGGCACGAAAGCGUGGGGAGCGAACAGGAUUAGAUACCCGGGUAGUC